rnacentral:rRNA from 1 species
GAGUUUGAUCCUGGCUCAGGAUGAACGCUGGCGGCGUGCUUAAUACAUGCAAGUCGAACGAAGCACCUUGGACAGAAUCCUUCGGGAGGAAGACCAUUGUGACUGAGUGGCGGACGGGUGAGUAACGCGUGGGUAACCUGCCUUGUACAGGGGGAUAACAGUUGGAAACGACUGCUAAUACCGCAUAAGCGCACAGUACCGCAUGGUACGGUGUGAAAAACUCCGGUGGUACAAGAUGGACCCGCGUCUGAUUAGCUGGUUGGUGAGGUAACGGCCCACCAAGGCGACGAUCAGUAGCCGACUUGAGAGAGUGAUCGGCCACAUUGGGACUGAGACACGGCCCAAACUCCUACGGGAGGCAGCAGUAGGGAAUAUUGCACAAUGGGGGAAACCCUGAUGCAGCGACGCCGCGUGAAGGAAGAAGUAUUUCGGUAUGUAAACUUCUAUCAGCAAGGAAGAAAAUGACGGUACUUGACUAAGAAGCCCCGGCUAAAUACGUGCCAGCAGCCGCGGUAAUUC